rnacentral:rRNA from 1 species
UCUGGUCUGUACUGACGCUGAGGAGCGAAAGCGUGGGGAGCGAACAGGAUUAGAUACCCUGGUAGUCCACGCCGUAAACGAUGAGUGCUAGGUGUUAGGGGGUUUCCGCCCCUUAGUGCUGAAGUUAACGCAUUAAGCACUCCGCCUGGGGAGUACGGCCGCAAGGCUGAAACUCAAAAGAAUUGACGGGGGCCCGCACAAGCGGUGGAGCAUGUGGUUUAAUUCGAAGCAACGCGAAGAACCUUACCAGGUCUUGACAUCCUCUGAACACUCUAGAGAUAGAGUUUUCCCUUCGGGGACAGAGUGACAGGUGGUGCAUGGUUGUCGUCAGCUCGUGUCGUGAGAUGUUGGGUUAAGUCCCGCAACGAGCGCAACCCUUGAUCUUAGUUGCCAGCAUUAAGUUGGGCACUCUAAGGUGACUGCCGGUGACAAACCGGAGGAAGGUGGGGAUGACGUCAAAUCAUCAUGCCCCUUAUGACCUGGGCUACACACGUGCUAC